UGCAUCUGGUGAGCUUACCGUCGGGGAUGCUGGUAUGGUCUUGGAGAGCGAGUCAGCGACGGCGGUGGCGCUGCAGAGGGAGGCGUGGAGGGCGAGGAACUGCUCCACGGCUGACUGCGGCCUCUCCUCCUUGGCGCAGGAUUGAGGAACCCAAGAGAACUGGUGGCUACGAGAUCCUCAGGGUUCCCGACACAUGGAUGACGACCAGGAAGUGGCCUCGCACCCUUAAGAAUGGGCACAGGGGAGCCUGCCUCAAGGCAGUCAACAUGAAUGAAUUGGCCUAGUUGGAUCUGAUCACUCAAGAUAAGGUCAUUGUGCUCAUCAGGCAGGGAAACAUAUGUUGCAUGGGAAGAAUCAGAGACCUUCAGAUAAAAGCCUCUGUUGGUGAAGAGAUCACUUCCAGCUAGGGCAGGAACAAUACUCACAACCUGGAGGAGGGACGACCGAUGCUCUCCAGCAAUCUUAACAUCAGUGUUCAUGUGCUGAAGGAGCUUGAUAAGGACACCCGGGACCAACGAAGCCAUUUGUUGCAAUUCUAAAACACAUUACUCUGCGGGAAAGGAGAAAACAUUUGGAUACUCAAUGAAUUAGCAUCUGAGUAUAAAUAGCAAUCAAUGCUAGCAUGAACAAGAAAGUUGAUCGAGCUUCGGGACCAGGGCAGGUUCUCCUUAGUUAUUCUCUAAUUGUUCCACCAUCAAAGGUGUAGAUGUUCUAAAGCAACUAGUAUGAUAUAUCAGUUGUGUGAUGGCUCCAGAACACACAAAUAUCAAGCAAAUUUUGUUCUUUCAAAA